rnacentral:rRNA from 1 species
UGGGGAAUAUUGCACAAUGGAGGGAACUCUGAUGCAGCGACGCCGCGUGAACGAAGAAGGCUUUCGAGUCGUAAAGUUCUUUUAUAUGGGAAGAUAAUGACGGUACCAUAAGAAAAAGCCCCGGCUAACUACGUGCCAGCAGCCGCGGUAAUACGUAGGGGGCUAGCGUUGUCCGGAAUCACUGGGCGUAAAGGGUUCGCAGGCGGAAAUGCAAGUCAGGUGUAAAAGGCAGUAGCUUAACUACUGUAAGCAUUUGAAACUGCAUAUCUUGAGAAGAGUAGAGGUAAGUGGAAUUUUUAGUGUAGCGGUGAAAUGCGUAGAUAUUAAAAAGAAUACUGGUGGCGAAGGCGACUUACUGGGCUCAUUCUGACGCUGAGGAACGAAAGCGUGGGUAGCAAACAGG